GUUUAUUAUUCCCAGGGCUUUUAUCCUGGGAAUUCUGUUAUUCCUGUUAUCGCCAGGGCUGUUAUCCCACUGUCAGUGUUCGUUAUUCCCGGGGCUGUUAUCCCGGUGUUUGUUAUUCCCGGAACUCUUAUCCUGGUGUUUGUUAUUCCCACCCUCAGGCUGUCCAUGAUUCCCGGGGCCGUUAUCCCAGUGUUUAUUAUUCCCAUUAUCCCAGUGUCAGGAUGUCCCUUAUUCCCAAAGCUCUUAUCCCGGUGUUAAUUAUUCCCAUUAUCCUGGUGUUUGUCAUUCCCGUUAUCCCAGUGUUUUCCAUUCCCAUUAUCCCGGUGUCAGGGUGUUUGCCAUUCCCAUUAUCCCAUUAUCCCAUUAUCCACGUGUUUACAAUUCCCAUUAUCCCGGUGUUUUUCAAUCCUGUUAUCCUGUUGUUUGUCAUUCCCAUUAUCCCGGUGUUUGCCAUUCCCGUUUUCCCAUUAUCCCACUUUUUGUCAUUCCCGUUAUCCCAGUGUUUUCCAUUCCCAUUAUCCCAGUGUUUGCCAUUCCCAUUUUCCCAUUAUCCCAGUGUUUUCCAUUCCCAUUAUCCCGGUGUUCUUCAUUCCCGUUUUCCCAUUAUCCUGGUGUUUUCCAUUCCCAUUAUCCCGGUGUUUGCCAUUCCCCUUAUCCUGGUGUUUUCCAUUCCCAUUAUCCCGGUGUUUGCCAUUCCCAUUAUCCUGGUGUUUUCCAUUCCCAUUAUCCCGGUGUUCUCCAUUCCCAUUUUCCCAUUAUCCCGGUGUUCUCCAUUCCCGUUUUCCCAUUAUCCUGGUGUUUUCCAUUCCCAUUAUCCCGGUGUUUGCCAUUCCCAUUAUCCCGGUGUUCUCCAUUCCCAUUAUCCCGGUGUUCUCCAUUCCCGUUUUCCCCUUAUCCCGGUGUUUUCCAUUCCCAUUAUCCUGGUGUUUUCCAUUCCCAUUAUCCCGGUGUUUGCCACUCCCGUUAUCCUGGACGGGAUGGGGAGAACCGGGAAUCUCCAGCGGGAUCCAGCGAGAUCCAGCCCAUCCCAAAGAUCCUGGAAUGCCGGAGAGGGACACGGAUCUGCUGGGAUCUGCUGGGAUAGAUCCCAAGGAACCGCGGCCAGGG
rnacentral:lncRNA from 1 species